GACUCCUACGGGAGGCAGCAGUGGGGAAUAUUGGACAAUGGGCGAAAGCCUGAUCCAGCAAUGCCGCGUGAGUGAUGAAGGCCUUAGGGUUGUAAAGCUCUUUUACCCGGGAUGAUAAUGACCGUACCGGGAGAAUAAGCUCCGGCUAACUCCGUGCCAGCAGCCGCGGUAAUACGGAGGGAGCUAGCGUUGUUCGGAAUUACUGGGCGUAAAGCGCACGUAGGCGGCUUUGUAAGUCAGAGGUGAAAGCCUGGAGCUCAACUCCAGUACUGCCUUUGAGACUGCAUCGCUUGAAUCCAGGAGAGGUGAGUGGAAUUCCGAGUGUAGAGGUGAAAUUCGUAGAUAUUCGGAAGAACACCAGUGGCGAAGGCGGCUCACUGGACUGGUAUUGACGCUGAAGUGCGAAAGCGUGGGGAGCAAACAGGAUUAGAUACCCUGGUAGUCCACGCCGUAAACGAUGAUAACUAGCUGUCGGGGCUCUUAGAGUUUCGGUGGCGCAGCUAACGCAUUAAGUUAUCCGCCUGGGGAGU
rnacentral:rRNA from 1 species